CAGUCCCGUUAGUAAUAUUGUAAACGUGCUUCUCUGAACUUUUUAUACACUCACUUCUGCACGAAAUCCUCUUCCCCGCACUAAAAGUGAGUUCUCAGAGCAAAUGCAAAAAGGGGGCCAGUCGACACCAAAAUGGCAAAGUUCAUCUCGAAAAAACUGACUUACAAAGGGGCACAAGGCUUUGUGAUUAUAGAAUUGAGGGAAAAGAACGACAACUGCAGUUGAGGUAGGAGUGUGAGAGUGUGUUUUUUGUAUCGCCUAUAUUUGAGUGUUUAAAAGAUUUUAUUUGCGGCGCUUGUGCUGACAACGCACAAGCUCUUGGUCAUGGUCUGGGAAACUUUGCUAUUGUACAUGGAACACUGAACACAAGAACAUUAUUUGCCGUUAUACUGAUAUAAUAGAGGACUAACAAACAAAUGUAGGAACAAGAGCGGGUGCGGGAAACCGGAAAACAACUGGACAAGAGUUCACGUGAGAAAUAUGGGUGUAAAAUGCAAAACAAUGCUUACAUCUUUUCUCCUUCAUGGUUCACUAAAAAGUGAGAGGCCAGAUUUCCUUGCCCUUUCUGGCUUGCCGGCAUCAGAGGUCUACUUAAAGGUGUCUGAACAGAAUAAGGUGUGAAUCUGAGAGCUUUUCUACCAAAUGAAGUGCCGGCAGAGAGAGAAAUAAAGAGAUCUACAGCAGUCAGGGGUCAG
rnacentral:lncRNA from 1 species